AUAAUCCUCUUAAUUCACAUCUCUCCUUAGCUCGAGAAAAAAUCACCUCUAAAAUAAUCAGCGGCAAUGCCCACAAGCGUAGUACCGGCUGGGCGGAGCGCAAGGAGGGCUGCGGCGGAGGAUGAAAAGUUAGUGUUUGAAACCACGGAGGGAAUAGAACCUGUUGCAAGUUUCGAUGAGAUGGGAUUGAAAGAAGAUGUACUGAGAGGAAUUUAUAAUUAUGGAUAUGAAAAGCCAUCAGCGAUACAACAAAGAGCUUUAAUGCCAAUAAUUAAAGGGCGUGAUGUUAUAGCACAAGCUCAAUCUGGUACUGGAAAGACCUCUAUGAUUGCCCUUACUGCUUGUCAGCUUGUUGAUACUGCUAACAGAGAGGUCCAGGCACUGAUAUUGUCACCAACAAGGGAACUGGCAGAACAGACAGAGAAAGUGAUAACGGCAAUUGGUGAAAACAUUAAUAUACAAGUACAUGCAUGCAUUGGAGGAAAAAGUGUGGGCGAGGAUAUUCGAAAACUAGAAUAUGGAGUUCAUGUUGUCUCUGGAACUCCAGGCAGAGUCUGUGACAUGAUCAAGAGAAGGUCAUUACGUACUAGAGCCAUCAGAGUACUAGUUCUUGAUGAAUCUGAUGAGAUUUUGAGCAGAGGGUUCAAGGAUCAAAUUUAUGAUGUUUACAGAUAUCUUCCACCCGAGCUUCAGGUUGUCCUGAUUUCUGCCACUCUUCCUAAUGAAAUUCUGGAGAUUACAAGCAAGUUCAUGACAGAUCCUGUAAAGAUUCUUGUGAAACGUGAUGAGUUGACUUUGGAGGGCAUCAAGCAAUUUUUUGUUGCUGUGGAAAAAGAAGAGUGGAAAUUUGAGACUCUGACUGACCUUUAUGAUACUCUUACCAUCACUCAAGCUGUUAUUUUCUGCAAUACAAAGCGGAAGGUUGAUUGGUUAACUGCCAAGAUGGUUGAAUUUAACUUUACUGUCUCAGCAAUGCAUGGUGACAUGCCUCAGAGGGAGAGAGAUGCAAUUAUGUCUAAUUUCCGUCUGGGUGAAACUCGUGUACUGAUCACAACUGAUGUUUGGGCUCGGCGGCUUGAUGUUCAACAAGUUUCUUUGGUGAUCAACUAUGACCUUCCAAACAAUCGAGAGCUUUACAUUCAUAGAAUUGGUCGUUCAGGCCGUUUCGGACGUAAGGGUGUUGCCAUUAAUUUUGUCAAAAGUGAUGAUAUCAGGAUUUUAAGAGAUAUUGAGCAGUAUUACAGCACCCAGAUUGAUGAAAUGCCUAUGAAUAUUGGUGAUCUGAUAUAAGACAUGCUGUGGUGGUUAUUAUUUGCUGCGGACAAUGUUCGUGUAUCAUGGAUGGCUUUUGUGUGCAUCGCUGCACUGUACACUUUUUUGGCGUUUAACAUGCGGCUGCUGACACAUACAGGCGCACAUAUACACACAAAAAUCAAACAAAAUCUAAAUCCCAAACAUCUCAAUGCUUCUGCUGCUCCUGCCCGCCACCCGAAAACAAAGGUAGAAAUCAAAUUAGGAAACGCAAAACUGUGUGAGUGAGCUUAACUUGGACAAAAAGGAAAGAAUGGCACCUUCGGGCACACAACUGCUGAAGUGAAGGUUUCAAGUCUCCAAACAGGUCAGGAGAGAAUAUAUGCAUGAAGCAGCGGGUUUGUAUUUUGGAUCUGGGAAUCAACAAGUGAAGAGGCCAAUUGUUCUGAGCGAUCAUGAAUUAGGAAAGAAAGAGCUUGAUAUAGAUUAGGUGAAGUGAACUUUCAACAUUUCAAAAAGGGAGCAUGGAGGAGAUUGAAUGAGAGAAGGGACCGAGUGGAGGAGAAACUGGAGAAAUUUCCAGUAUUCGUUCAUAAGAAAAGGAGGAUGAAAUUUCUAGUAUUUUCCUCUCCCUGGUGCUCUUUGUUUUGGGUUAAUUGAAGGUAAGGAAGAUGAUAAUGUCUAUAAAGGUUGGGAUAUGGUGGAGAUAGCACAAGAUCUAAUGGUAUGGUGUUGGUUUGUGUUUGAAAGGAUGGCUAUAGCAAUGUGGGUCUCUGGUUCGGUUGAAAUCUGGAAACAUUUCCAGACUUCUUUGUUGGUUCUCUGUUGUUGUUUCUUGUUUUUUUUUCUUGGUUCCCCUCAUUGGAAUUCCCUGAUGUCCACCAUUUUUUUAUAGGAGAGAAUAUGGAAUUAAUGCAAUAUUGAAUGAUUUCUGGGACUUGAUUAGAAUCUGGGUUUAUUUUGCAGGGAUUUGGGGUUUAAUUUGAAUCUUGGACUAGAUUGAAUCAAUUGGA